rnacentral:rRNA from 1 species
AGACAGCAGUCGCCGCGGGAAUACGUAGGGGGCAAGCGUUAUCCGGAAUUACUAGGUGUAAAGGGAGCGUAGGCGGUUAAACAAGUCUGAAGUGAAAUGCCGGGGCUCAACCCCGGAGCUGCUUUGGGAACUGUAGAACUGGAGUGUCGGAGGGGUAAGCGGAAUUCCCAGUGUAGCGGUGAAAUGCGUAGAUAUUGGGAGGAACACCGGCGGCGAAGGCGGCUUACUGGACGACAACUGACGUUGAGGCUCGAAGGCGUGGGUAGCAAACAGGAUUAGAUACCCGGGUAGCCCUGUCUCUUAUACA